GAUGAACGCUGGCGGCGUGCCUAAUACAUGCAAGUCGAGCGAACAGACGAGGAGCUUGCUCCUCUGACGUUAGCGGCGGACGGGUGAGUAACACGUGGAUCACCUACCUAUAAGACUGGGAUAACUUCGGGAAACCGGAGCUAAUACCGGAUAAUAUAUUGAACCGCAUUGUUCAAUAGUGAAAGACGGUUUUGCUGUCACUUAUAGAUGGUUCCGCGCCGCAUUAGCUAGUUGGUAAGGUAACGGCUUACCAAGGCAACGAUGCGUAGCCGACCUGAGAGGGUGAUCGGCCACACUGGAACUGAGACACGGUCCAGACUCCUACGGGAGGCAGCAGUAGGGAAUCUUCCGCAAUGGGCGAAAGCCUGACGGAGCAACGCCGCGUGAGUGAUGAAGGUCUUCGGAUCGUAAAACUCUGUUAUUAGGGAAGAACAAAUGUGUAAGUAACUAUGCACGUCUUGACGGUACCUAAUCAGAAAGCCACGGCUAACUACGUG
rnacentral:rRNA from 1 species